rnacentral:rRNA from 1 species
GACUAAUUAUAGCUCAAAAUAUGUUACAUAUAAUUAUUCUUAUAUAUUAAAAUAAAACAUUCAUAUAACAAAAGUAUGGGCGAUAGAAAUUCUAUAUGACGCUAUAGAAAGAGUACCGUAAGGGAAAAAAUGAAAGAA